UGUAUGUGUGUGUAUUCACAGUCACGUGUGGCUGUAGGUGUGUGAGCAUGUUCGCGGUGGGCUAAUGCUAGUUUAGAUGAUGUCAUCAAAGAGUAUGGAGCCAUCUGAGGUCACCUUGGCAAGUUCGACACCUUCUCACUAGCAUUGAUCUGCAAUGCUGAAUAAGAAAAAGAGAUAUAUCUAGAUGACAAGAGCACAAGGGUGACACACUGGAGCUGAAACAGAGUGAAGGACAGGGCAGAGAAGGAGCAGGACUGACUGACAGACAAUCCGCACCACCACCACCACCUCCUCUCCUGGCUGUGGGCAAGCUUUGUAUAGUGCUUACCACCACCUUGAGCUAAUUAACACAUCUAUAUGCACACUCUGAGUUUAUUAAUAAGAAAUAAACUAGUUUGC